AUUAGCUAGUUGGUGAGGUAAAGGCUCACCAAGGCGACGAUCUGUAGCUGGUCUGAGAGGAUGAUCAGCCACACUGGGACUGAGACACGGCCCAGACUCCUACGGGAGGCAGCAGUGGGGAAUAUUGGACAAUGGGCGAAAGCCUGAUCCAGCCAUGCCGCGUGUGUGAAGAAGGCCUUUUGGUUGUAAAGCACUUUAAGUGGGGAGGAAAAGCUUGUGGUUAAUACCCAUAAGCCCCUGACGUUACCCACAGAAUAAGCACCGGCUAACUCUGUGCCAGCAGCCGCGGUAAUACAGAGGGUGCAAGCGUUAAUCGGAAUUACUGGGCGUAAAGCGAGCGUAGGUGGCUGUUUAAGUCAGAUGUGAAAGCCCCGGGCUUAACCUGGGAACUGCAUCUGAUACUGGACAGCUAGAGUAGGUGAGAGGGGAGUAGAAUUCCAGGUGUAGCGGUGAAAUGCGUAGAGAUCUGGAGGAAUACCGAUGGCGAAGGCAGCUCCCUGGCCUCAUACUGACACUGAGGUUCGAAAGCGUGGGUAGCAAACAGGAUUAGAUACCCUGGUAGUCCACGCCGU
rnacentral:rRNA from 1 species